GACGAACGCUGGCGGCGUGCUUAACACAUGCAAGUCGAACGGUGAAGGGACUGGUUUUGCUGGUCCUGGAUGAGUGGCGAACGGGUGAGUAACACGUGAGUAACCUGCCCCCUUCUUCUGGAUAACCGCAUGAAAGUGUGGCUAAUACGGGAUAUUCUGGGUCUGUCGCAUGGUGGGCCUGGGAAAGAUUGCGCCUUUUUUGGUGCUUUUGGUGGGGGAUGGGCUCGCGGCCUAUCAGCUUGUUGGUGGGGUGAUGGCCUACCAAGGCGGUGACGGGUAGCCGGCCUGAGAGGGUGGACGGUCACACUGGGACUGAGACACGGCCCAGACUCCUACGGGAGGCAGCAGUGGGGAAUAUUGCACAAUGGGCGCAAGCCUGAUGCAGCGACGCCGCGUGAGGGAUGGAGGCCUUCGGGUUGUGAACCUCUUUCGCCAGUGAAGCAGGCCUGCCUCUUUGUGUGGGUGGGUUGACGGUAGCUGGAGAAGAAGCGCCGGCUAACUACGUG
rnacentral:rRNA from 1 species